CCCAAGAGAUCGGGAUAACACCUGGAAACAGAUGCUAAUACCGGAUAACAACAGAUGAUGCCUAUCAACUGUUUAAAAGAUGGUUCUGCUAUCACUCUUGGAUGGACCUGCGGUGCAUUAGCUAGUUGGUAGGGUAACGGCCUACCAAGGCGAUGAUGCAUAGCCGAGUUGAGAGACUGAUCGGCCACAUUGGGACUGAGACACGGCCCAAACUCCUACGGGAGGCAGCAGGA
rnacentral:rRNA from 1 species